rnacentral:rRNA from 1 species
GAUGAACGCUGGCGGCGUGCCUAAUACAUGCAAGUCGAGCGAACAGACGAGGAGCUUGCUCCUCUGACGUUAGCGGCGGACGGGUGAGUAACACGUGGAUAACCUACCUAUAAGACUGGGAUAACUUCGGGAAACCGGAGCUAAUACCGGAUAAUAUAUUGAACCGCAUGGUUCAAUAGUGAAAGACGGUUUUGCUGUCACUUAUAGAUGGAUCCGCACCGCAUUAGCUAGUUGGUAAGGUAACGGCUUACCAAGGGGACGAGGCGUAGCCGACGUGAGAGGGUGAUCGGCCACACUGGAACUUAGACACGGUCCAGAGUCCUACGGGAGGCAGCAGUAGGGAAUCUUCCGCAAUGGGCGAAAGCCUGACGGAGCAACGCCGCGUGAGUGAUGAAGGUCUUCGGAUCGUAAUACUCUGUUAUUAGGGAAGAACAAAUGUGUAAGUAACUAUGCACGUCUUGACGGUACCUAAUCAGAAAGCCACGGCUAACUACGUG